GUGAGAGAUGCGGUCGGAGGCUCGUCCGCUCAUACAUCCAGCCCGGCUGUUGGUGGCGUGUUGGAACAUGCCUUGACUUGUUGUACUGCCUGACUGAACAGACAGAGAGAGAGAGAGAGAGGCAGCCACAGGAGGAGAGGCAAGAGGCUGGUGGUCAACAGUUUUCCAGUGUAAAGUGACCCACACAUCGGGAGAGCCCGUGAACAGACUCCUGUUGAUGCCAACACGUUGAGUGCACCCGCUGGAGAUCACGCUGGAUGGUAGACCUCGGCUGCUGCCCGGCUAACUGAGCUGCCGGCUGUUGGCAGAGCACCACGCCACCCUCGAGGCGAGGAGGGGGCUUUCAGUGUGAGGCCACUGCCUUCCAACAACCACCAACAACACCAUCACCACGAAGCUGGGAAUGGAAAGCGUCAGCAGUGCCAGGCUCGCAGGUGGACACAUGCACCAAAGACCAGUCGGGACCCCGCUGGGGAGAGCAAGCCCGGAGACGGGUGGUUGGACGCGGCUGCUGUGGGUGUUUCUCUGGCAGUGUCUUAGCUGGUUGUUGUGAGGAGUGAGAACGAAGCAAUCAGCAAGUAUACUGCCGCAGAAAUUCUUCGCAAUAAGAAGCCCCGGGAUCACAGCCAAGAGGGAGGAAACUGGGAGCUGCCACUGUAAGUUUUCGACCCUGCUAAGAGAAUUAACUGAGGAUCGACCGAGCGCAUGGCCGCCGCAAUAUUUAGAAAACGGAUCAAACUUCCACACUGUCUGUUGCACUAUCAUGAUCUUCUGCUGCCAUCUUGUGACUGAAAGCAAACCUCCCGGCAUGCUUUUGUUCAUCAAACGCUGCUGCACCAAUUUGUGAAAACUUUGCCUUUUUUUUUUUCCUUUUCAUUGAGACAAAACGAAAGCCCUUUCAUUCAGAAAAUACAGCUUGGCUUACUAUGACUUUUUUUCAGUUGCAAAUGCAUGUUUUGAUCCCUAAAUUUAAUUUGCUCCACGGAUAUUUCUGGAUGUAACACACACAAACAAAAAGAAAGUGGAUAUGAUUCUUGAUUUAUGUGCGUGAUAUUUUAUUUGUGACAUAUUUGCUGCUGUAGAAAAGGAGUGUUGUAAAUAAAGUUAGAUAAAUACUGCUUUAUAUAUUUUCCUUCUUCCUUACUUAACAUGAGAAUUUUGUAAUAAUGUAAUAGUGUUGCAGAAAGGCCCUUUGCACUACAUUAAAAAAAACAAAACACUUUUUAUUUAGUGCAAGGUGAGAAUAUUUCUGUGUGACCAAAGACGACCUAAUGUGUGCAGAUGAGUCAGGUGCACAUUAAUUUAGGCUUUCACACACACACACACACACACACACACACACACAUACACACACACAGACGAUGUUCUUCUGAUUUUUCCUCUACACUAUCUCAGAAUCUC
ensembl:lncRNA